rnacentral:tRNA from 1 species
CGGGAUGUUGCGCAGUCCGGUAGCGCAUCGGUUUUGGGUACCGGGGGUCGCAGGUUCGAAUCCUGCCAUCCCG